ACAGAGAUUUUUACUUCUGUCGAUAACAAACUCGUCACAAUUGUUUACUAGUUCAUGUUUAGUAUGUCCAAUUAAUCGAUAUAAUUUUCACUUAUCCUUGAUCAACGAUCAAUACAAGAAAUAAUAAAAUUAUGGAUAAAUUACAAAACCUCCCUUGAGAUUUACAUUUAUUACACUUUAACCCAAUAGUUUAAAAAACUUACACUUACCCCCUA
rnacentral:lncRNA from 1 species